rnacentral:rRNA from 1 species
ACUGCUCAGUAACACGUAGCUAACCUAACUUAAGAUCGAGAAUAACUUCGGGAAACUGAGGAUAAUGCUCGAUAGAAGAUGAUUUCUGGAAUGAGUUAUCUUUGAAACGCAAGGUCUUAAGAUGGGGCUGCGGCUGAUUAGGUAGUUGGCGGGGUAAAUGCCCACCAAGCCGAUGAUCAGUAAGGGCCUUUAGCGAGGAGGCCCUGAGAAGGAAUCUGAGACACUAUUCCUAGCCCUACGGGGUGCAGCAGUUAAGAAUCUUUUGCAAUGCGCGCAAGCGUGACAAAGCGAGCCAGAGUGUUUUUCUAUAUGAAAAACUUUUACCUACUGUAAAAAGGUAGGAGAAUAAGGACCGGGCAAGACUGGUGCCAGCAGCCGCGGUAAUACGAU